GCACCGGUAGCUCAGUUGGAUAGAGCACCAGACUACGGAUCUGGGGGUCGUGGGUUCGAAUCCUUCCCGGUGCGCCA
rnacentral:tRNA from 1 species